rnacentral:piRNA from 1 species
UUGUAGACAGACUAAACGUUUUUACGUGC